AGAGUUUGAUCAUGGCUCAGAACGAACGCUGGCGGCGUGGAUAAGACAUGCAAGUCGAGCGCUGAUUACAGGGUAGCAAUAUUCUGUGGUCGGAGCGGCGCAAGGGUGCGUAACACGUGGGUAAUCUGCCAUGAAGUUUGGAAUAACUUGCUGAAAGGCGAGCUAAUACCGGAUGUGACAAUUAGGAGGCAUCUUCCGAUUGUCAAAGCUGGGGACCGUAAGGCCUGGCGCUUCAUGAUGAGCCCGCGGCCUAUCAGCUAGUUGGUGAGGUAACGGCUCACCAAGGCUAAGACGGGUAGCUGGUCUGAGAGGACGACCAGCCACACUGGAACUGAGACACGGUCCAGACACCUACGGGUGGCAGCAGUCGAGAAUUUUUCACAAUGGGCGCAAGCCUGAUGGAGCGACGCCGCGUGGGGGAUGAAUGGCUUCGGCCCGUAAACCCCUGUCAUUUGCGAACAAAUUGGUUCAAUUAACACCUGAGCCAUUGAUAGUAGCGAAAGAGGAAGGGACGGCUAACUCUGUGCCAGCAGCCGCGGUAAUACAGAGGUCCCAAGCGUUGUUCGGAUUCACUGGGCGUAAAGGGUGCGUAGGUGGUGAGGUAAGUCGGAUGUGAAAGCUCGGAGCUCAACUCCGAAAUGGCAUUGGAAACUACCUUGCUCGAGGGUUGGAGGGGGGACUGGAAUACUUGGUGUAGCAGUGAAAUGCGUAGAUAUCAAGUGGAACACCAGUGGCGAAGGCGAGUCCCUGGACAACUCCUGACACUGAGGCACGAAAGCUAGGGGAGCAAACAGGAUUAGAUACCCCCGUAGUCC
rnacentral:rRNA from 1 species